GGGUUAUACAAUGCUCUGUACAAAGAACUAAAAUUUUUAAAUAAUGUAAAAACAAAAUGCGCACGUCUUAAUGAAAGGCCAACUGAAAACAAUUGCGCUGGAAGUAUUCGCAAUAUUUUUGUGAAUACUAGCAUGGAAAAUCAAAACGAAAGCAAAAAUAUUGUCUUUGAUAAAAUACAGCGGACUUUGCAGUAUAUUGCCAAUAAAAAUUUUAAAAAUUCUCCCAAAACACCGGCAGAAGUGAGGAAGUUUUCCAAGACGCAGCAGUUUUUGAUAAAUUCGGUUAUUCCAAAUUAAAUGGCAAUAAACAAUGGCAGUUUUUCAACAUAUGCUACUAAGAAAAAGACUUUGCAUAUUGCGUUUUUUGUUUCGAAAGAACUGUUGAACUGAUGAAAGAAUGCAUUCCUGUUAAUUCGAAAAGAAACAUUUUAAUUGAUGAAGAGCUGUCAACAGUACUAGCCGAAGUGGAAGCCAUUCUCAACUCGCGUCCAGUAGCACCGUUGAGCCAAGACCCCAACGAUGGAGAAGCUCUAACGCCAGCACACCUGCUGAUCGGUUGCCCUCUACGAGCACUGCCACCAGCACAAGUGCCAACGGACAUAAUUCGUUGUUGCGAGAGAUGGCAACUUGUUUGCUGUCUCAAGCAACAGUUUUGGCAGCAGUGGUCCAAAACGUAUCUCACGAGCCUUCAAGAGCGGAACAAAUGGUUACAUCCGGAGCGGAAUCUGCAGGCCGGGGACCUCGUCCUCGUACACGAAGACAACACACCACCGCAGCAGUGGGUACUAGGACGAGUCGCCGCAACCGUAGAAGGGCAAGACGGCAAGGUGCGAGUGGCAGACGUGGCAACGAAAGCAGGCACAAUCAAGCGGCCCAUUCAUAAGAUCGCCCUGCUACCCAUCAACGUUGAAGGAUCAUGAUCCUGUCAAGGCGGCCGGUCUUGCGUCAAGCGACAUCCUUUAAACAUAAAUACUAUUUUUAAACAUAAUACUAAACGAAUGUUUAUGAAUUAAUUUUAUAUUAAAUAUUUAAAUUAAAAUGUUAAAGUUUAUUUUAUAUUAUAUUAUACUCACCCUAAUAAUACUGUUUAUAUACUCACCAUAAUUUUCUACCAUAAUGUAACGAAUUGAAUUCUACUUACCCCUUUUUUAUAAAUACAUAUUUACGCGUCCCGUUAGUUUAAGCCGUUAGGUUAAGGUAAGAAUUUAAUUGUGUAAGAAGAACAUUCGCGAGCGGUCGCUAUUUCAUUUUCUCGGCACAGGCAAUUUUGUAUAUUCGGUUCACGCAUUCCCAAUUAAUCAGUUUUCUCAAAAAAGCUUGAGAU